rnacentral:rRNA from 1 species
CCUACGGGAGGCAGCAGUGAGGAAUAUUGGUCAAUGGGCGCAAGCCUGAACCAGCCAAGUAGCGUGAAGGAUGACUGCCCUAUGGGUUGUAAACUUCUUUUAUAUGGGAAUAAAGUGCAGUAUGUAUACUGCUUUGCAUGUACCUUAUGAAUAAGGAUCGGCUAACUCCGUGCCAGCAGCCGCGGUAAUACGGAGGAUCCGAGCGUUAUCCGGAUUUAUUGGGUUUAAAGGGAGCGUAGGCGGGUUGUUAAGUCAGUUGUGAAAGUUUGCGGCUCAACCGUAAAAUUGCAGUUGAUACUGGCAGCCUUGAGUACAGUAGAGGUAGGCGGAAUUCGUGGUGUAGCGGUGAAAUGCUUAGAUAUCACGAAGAACUCCGAUUGCGAAGGCAGCCUGCUGGACUGUAACUGACGCUGAUGCUCGAAAGUGUGGGUAUCAAACAGGAUUAGAUACCCCGGUAGUC